rnacentral:rRNA from 1 species
AGCAAUAAUUUAGCCCUAACACAACACAAACACAAAGAUGUUUAUAAGCGACAGAUACUCAUUAGUGAACAUUCAUAUUUUUUAAGAAAAGACCCGGCAACCGCCAAGAUCUACACAAGUCGGGAUAGAGAACAGUACCGCAAGGGAAAAACAAAAUAUAAACUUAAGCACAAAUAAGCAAAGAUUAGACCUUGUACCUUUUGCAUAAUGAACUAACCAGAAAACAUCUAGCUAAAAGAACUUCAGCUAGAAACCCCGAAACCAAACGAGCUACCUAAAAGCAAUUAUAAGAAUGCACCCGUCUAUGUAGCAAAAUAGUGGGACGACUUCUAGGUAGAGGCGAAAAACCUAACGAGCUUGGUGAUAGCUGGUUGCCCAAUAAUGAAUCUAAGUUCAACUUUAAGCUUACCAACAAGAACAUAAAAAUCUAAAUGUAAGCUUAAAAUAUAGCCUAAAGAGGGACAGCUCUUUAGGAAUGGAAAACCCUUAAAUAGUGAAUAAGCCUUUUACACUUAAACCAUAGUUGGCCUAAAAGCAGCCACCAAUAAAGAAAGCGUUCAAGCUCAACAUUAACAAUAUAAUAAUACCAAAAAAACUAAGCGAAUUCCUAUAUCUAUAAAAUUGGGCUAAUCUAUUAACAUAUAGAUGAAACACUGUUAGUAUGAGUAACAAGAAUUUUAUUCUCCAUGCACAAAACUAUAACAACCCGGAUAACCAUUGUUAGUUAACACUAUAAAGUGAUUACCCCACAUAUAAAACCCACCUACCAUAACAUGUUAAUCCGACACAGGGGUGCAUACUGGAAAGAUUAAAAGAAAUAAAAGGAACUCGGCAAACACGAACCCCGCCUGUUUACCAAAAACAUCACCUCUAGCAUACCAAGUAUUAGAGGCACUGCCUGCCCAGUGACUAACGUUAAACGGCCGCGGUAUCCUGACCGUGCAAAGGUAGCAUAAUCACUUGUUCCUUAAUUAGGGACUAGAAUGAAUGGCUUGACGAGGGUUCAACUGUCUCUUAUUUCCAAUCAGUGAAAUUGACCUUCCCGUGAAGAGGCGGGAAUACAAAAAUAAGACGAGAAGACCCUAUGGAGCUUUAAUUACUAACUUAACUCUUAAAAUUAAAAACCUACUGGGCCAAAAACACAAAAACUUAAGUUAAAAUUUCGGUUGGGGUGACCUCGGAAAAUAAAAAAACCUCCGAACGAUUUUAGCUAAGACACACAAGUCUAAGCAUUCUAAAUCCAAUUGACCCAAAAAUCCUUUUGAUCAACGGACCAAGUUACCCUAGGGAUAACAGCGCAAUCCUAUUCAAGAGUCCAUAUCGACAAUUAGGGUUUACGACCUCGAUGUUGGAUCAGGACAUCCCAAUGGUGUAGAAGCUAUUAAUGGUUCGUUUGUUCAACGAUUAAAGUCCUACGUGAUCUGAGUUCAGACCGGAGCAAUCCAGGUCGGUUUCUAUCUAUUCACGAUUUCUCCCAGUACGAAAGGACAAGAGAAAUGGAGCCUCCUUACAACAAGAGCUCCUAAACCAAUUUAUGAAAUAAUAUUAAAAUUAUAAGUUCGUUAAAUAUCUGCCUUAGACACAAGGCAU